rnacentral:rRNA from 1 species
UGGGCGCAGCCUGAUCCCGCCAUACCGAGUGGGUGAAGAAGGCCUUCGGGUUGUAAAGCCCUUUUGUUGGGAAAGAAAUCCAGCCGGCUAAUACCUGGUUGGGAUGACGGUACCCAAAGAAUAAGCACCGGCUAACUACGUGCCAGCAGCCGCGGUAAUACGAAGGG